UACGUAGGGUGCGAGCGUUGUCCGGAAUUAUUGGGCGUAAAGAGCUCGUAGGCGGUCUGUCGCGUCGAUCGUGAAAACUUGGGGCUUAACCCUGAGCUUGCGGUCGAUACGGGCAUGACUGGAGUUCGGCAGGGGAGACUGGAAUUCCUGGUGUAGCGGUGAAAUGCGCAGAUAUCAGGAGGAACACCGGUGGCGAAGGCGGCAUCCUGG
rnacentral:rRNA from 1 species